rnacentral:misc_RNA from 1 species
AAGUCGUAACAAGGUUUCCGUAGGUGAACCUGCGGAAGGAUCAUUAAUGAGUUUGCGCGGUUGUUGCUGGUUCUUACAAGUGCACACCGCGUCUUUCUUAUCCACCCCACUGUGCAUCUCGGUACGCCUCUGCGCGUAGUCCUUUACAUCUAUACACCUUUUGUAAUGUAGAGAACGUGCCUUUGAAAUAACAAAAUACAACUAUCAACAACGGAUCUCUUGGCAUCCC